UACGGAGGAUGCGAGCGUUAUCCGGAAUCAUUGGGUUUAAAGGGUGCGUAGGCUGGUAUUUAAGUCAGUGGUGAAAUUUUCGUGCUUAACAUGAGAGCUGCCAUUGAUACUGGAUACCUUGAGUGUAUUUGAUGUGGGCGGAAUGUGUUGUGUAGCGGUGAAAUGCAUAGAUAUGACACAGAACACCGAUAGCGAAGGCAGCUCACAAAGUUACAACUGACGCUGAUGCACGAAAAGCGUGGGGGAUCAAAACAGG
rnacentral:rRNA from 1 species